rnacentral:rRNA from 1 species
GAUGAACGCUGACAGAAUGCUUAACACAUGCAAGUCUUUGGCGAAGCUGUGCUCGCACAGCCUAGCCAAGGCGGACGGGUGAGUAACGCGUAAGGAACUUGCCCUGCAGUCAGGGAUAACAGACGGAAACGACUGAUAAGACCUGGUAAAGUCAGGCGGACUCAUGUCCAGCCUGAUGAAAAGAGAUGCUGCAGGAGAGCCUUGCGUCCUAUUAGCUUGUUGGUGGGGUAACGGCCCACCAAGGCGAUGAUAGGUAGCCGGCCUGGGAGGGUGGACGGCCACAAGGGGACUGAGAUACGGCCCUUACUCCUACGGGAGGCAGCAGUGGGGAAUAUUGGACAAUGGGGGCAACCCUGAUCCAGCAAUUCUGUGUGCACGAUGAAGGUUUUCGGAUUGUAAAGUGCUUUCAGCAGGGAAGAAAAAAAUGACGGUACCUGCAGAAGAAGCGACGGCUAAAUACGUG